AUUGAACGCUGGCGGCAGGCCUAACACAUGCAAGUCGAGCGAGAGUCGGACGGGUGAGAGAUGUCUGUGAAACUGCCGGUUGGAGGGGGAGAAAUAUGGGAGACGGUAGCUAAUACCGCAUACCAUCUGAGGUGCGCACAUGGGAGUAGCGAGUAGGUGUGGUAACGGCGCACCUGGGCGACGCGCCCUAGCUGGUCUGAGAGGAUGACCAGCCACACUGGAACGGAGACACGGUCCAGACUCCUACGGGAGGCAGCAGUGGGGAAUAUUGCGCAAUGGGGGCAAGCCUGAUGCAGCCAUGCCGCGUGAGUGAAGAAGGCCUUCGGGUUGUAAAGCACUUUCAGCGGGGAGGCGUUACCCACAGAAGAAGCACCGGCUAACUCCGUGCCAGCAGCCGCGGUAAUUC
rnacentral:rRNA from 1 species